rnacentral:lncRNA from 1 species
AUUAUUAUUAUUAUUAUUAUUACUGUUAUUAUUAUUAUUAUUAUUAUUAUUAUUAUUAUUAUUAUUAUUAUUAUUAUGUCUCUACUGUAUUUUAUGCAAGAAAACAGAAAACAAGUAUGGGGGAGAUCCCUCGACAUGCCAAAUGCACUUCGACUACACCACUCCACGAUUCAGGUACAUACUUUGCACACUUUAGACAUACACAUAUAUCUUGAUUUGUGCAGAAUAUUGUCGCCGACAUGAUAAAUUAACAAGAUUAAAAUGUUUCUAAUCAUGAUUAAUCUCACUCUGUGAUAUUUCCUGAAAAUUUGAAAUCAUUAAAAAUCAUUUAAAAACCCUGUGUUACUUAAGUCAUUGUGGAAUGUGAGAUGGUAGAGUAUGAGUACCUUAUUCUUGAUAUCGUUGUUGCUUGGAGAAUUUAUUUCAAAAUCUUCAAACAUUUUAGCUACCAUCCUUAGUGUUUUAUAUGCCUGGUAAACCUGAAAAUAUUAAUUAUAAUAAUUAUAAAAGCUAUCUGCUCUGUAUUGAGUUUGUUCAAAAUGAGUUAGACCCUUGUUGAGAGAUUUAUCAUACUCCUAAGAUCAAGACAUUUAUUCAGAAAGAUUCACUCUUCCGAAGUAUUAUUGCAUUAGAGGCAUGGGCUAUGUAAAAAUAUGAAUAUUUUGAGGAAAUAAAAAGGAGCAAGUGCUCGACAACAUCGCAGAAAAAAUGGACAAGUGUCCGGUAGUAGAAUUAGGGGUACCUCGGUAUCCACCUAAAAAAAGGAAAAAAAAGAGAAAAUGAUAGCCCAUGGUCCCUCUAAUAAGCAAUAUGCUAGUAAUCGUUGACAAGUUUUUAAUUUCCAAAGUCUUUGAUCUAAGAGUAUGGCAUUCCUCUCCUCGGAUCCCGUUUUGAUCACGAAAUAAUUGCAAGGUAAGAAUGCUUGAGAAUUUUUUGCAAAUUAAAACAGCCUCAGUGAGAUAUAUAAAAGAUAAUGAGUGACCUGAGAACCUAUGAGGAUAAUGGUAUGCUAAAUUUCUUUUCAAAAAUAUACAAAAACUCCAAGUGACAGGGUUGAGAAGAAGAUAGGAUCUCUACUCUUGACCAUAUAUUUCCCUGACUACGGUACAUAGUGAAUUUUUACAACACCCUGCAGGUAUGAAGAGAAUGUUUUACAAUGUUUUAACCCCAGAUAUUUUUCUUAACCAUCCUUUUCUCGAGGACGAGUAAAUGGCUAAGUAUGGGGUAUUUGUUGACAGUUCUUAAGUAUCAAUUUUAAUUAUGAAAUAAACAAGGAAAAGGACCAAUAUACAAGCAACACCUAGAAUUAGGGUUUGAUCUGACAGAAUUCCACGAGUUUUGUUGUUUAUCUAUUUCUGCAGGGGGUUAUCAGGAAAUAUGGAAGAAAGGCCCAUAUGUCGGGUUUACAGAGAGAUAUUAACGUGCACCGCGAUUAUUCAACAUCUAGAAGAGUCCAGAAGUCACGGGAACAAACGGGAGGCCGAUCGGGCCCGGGGGCAGGGCGCCCGCCCUCCCCCCUUGGGCGCCCGCCCUCCUCAGCUGGCCAAUCGGCACGAGUCUCGUGGAUUAUGCUCCACCGACCUAAAGGAUCAAGGAGAACCGUUCAAUCAAUGUUGGUUUGAUCUGACGGCCCAGAUUCAUCUGAAAAGACAAUAUAAGCAAGGCCCCCUGGCCCCUAGAGGAGAGAAUCUAAUUAUUCAUUAGCAUAUUUUCCAGAGAGGAUUCAGAGAGAGAGGUUCCUUAGGGUUCCCAUCUCAUAGGGCGUAGCAUCCAAUGUGAGAUUCUAUUAGAUUGAGAGAGAUAGAGUGG